rnacentral:rRNA from 1 species
UGUUUCGGCUAGGGGGCCAUCCCGGCUUACCAACCCGAUGCAAACUGCGAAUACCGGAGAAUGUUAUCACGGGAGACACACGGCGGGUGCUAACGUCCGUCGUGAAGAGGGAAACAACCCAGACCGCCAGCUAAGGUCCCAAAGUCAUGGUUAAGUGGGAAACGAUGUGGGAAGGCCCAGACAGCCAGGAUGUUGGCUUAGAAGCAGCCAUCAUUUAAAGAAAGCGUAAUAGCUCACUGGUCGAGUCGGCCUGCGCGGAAGAUGUAACGGGGCUAAACCAUGCACCGAAGCUGCGGCAGCGAACGUAUCACCCAAGACAACUUUACGGAGUUAACGAUUGACGGAGCGAAGCGACGUCAAAGCGUUCAUUAAAGUCGAGUUGGCUUAGGGAUACGUUCGUUGGGUAGGGGAGCGUUCUGUAAGCCUGUGAAGGUGGCCUGUGAGGGUUGCUGGAGGUAUCAGAAGUGCGAAUGCUGACAUAAGUAACGAUAAAGCGGGUGAAAAGCCCGCUCGCCGGAAGACCAAGGGUUCCUGUCCAACGUUAAUCGGGGCAGGGUGAGUCGACCCCUAAGGCGAGGCCGAAAGGCGUAGUCGAUGGGAAACGGGUUAAUAUUCCCGUACUUGGUGUUACUGCGAAGGGGGGACGGAGAAGGCUAUGUUGGCCGGGCGACGGUUGUCCCGGUUUAAGCGUGUAGGUGUGUGUUCCAGGUAAAUCCGGUU